UGCAGGCUUAGGCUGAGUAUGUUGUGGAAUGGACUGUGAAGGACCGGUGUGGCUUCCUUACAAUAGCGACUUUGUCUCCUACUUCACGGCUCCUAACAUGUGCCCUGUUGUCCUGGAAACUGGCCAAGAUGAUUGAGGCUAGGGAAAAGGUGCAAAAGAAGAAACAAAAUGUCAAGAAAAUAUUGCUGAAGCUAAUGAUUCAAAAAGG
rnacentral:lncRNA from 1 species